GGCCAGUUAGCUAACUUGGUUAGAGUGUGGUGCUAAUAACACCAAGGUCAAGGGUUCGGAUCCCCUUACUGGCCA